rnacentral:sRNA from 1 species
AGGAAAGAUGGCGGCAGCGGCGGCGGUGGGCAACGCGAUGCCCUGCGGGGCCCGGCCUUGCGGGGCCCGGCCUGACGGGCAGCCCAAGCCCGGGCCGCAGCCGCGCGCGCUCCUUGCCGCCGGGCCGGCGCUCAUAGCGAACGGUGACGAGCUGGUGGCUGCCGUGUGGCCGUACCGGCGGUUGGCGCUGUUGCGGCGCCUCACGGUGCUGCCAUUCGCCGGGCUGCUUUACCCGGCCUGGUUGGGUGCCGCAGCCGCUGGCUGCUGGGGCUGGGGCAGCAGUUGGGUGCAGAUCCCCGAAGCCGCGCUGCUCGUGCUUGCCACCAUCUGCCUCGCGCACGCGCUCACUGUCCUCUCGGGGCAUUGGUCUGUGCACGCGCAUUGCGCGCUCACCUGCACCCCGAGAUGGGGUUUCACCGUGUUAGCCAGGAUGGUCUCAAUCUCCUGACGUCGUGAUCCGCCCACCUCGGCCUCCCAAAGUGCUGGGAUUACAGGAGUACGACCCCAGCAAAGCGACCUUUGUGAAGGUGGUGCCAACCCC